ensembl:lncRNA
GGAGCAUGGAGCUGGUGAAUAGGUUAUGAGUUUACACGCGGUCUGGUCUAUUCCUGUAAAACAAAAAACAAACAAACAAACAAAAUUCCAGCAGUUUCCAAUGUCAUCAGAGCCUUUGAAUAGCAAUACUAUUAAAUAAUUGCUACAUACUAUUAUUAUCAUUAUUAUUACUCUUUAUAGUUAUUAUUACAAGAACCCUGGCUGUAUUGAAGCAGAUUUAAUCCUGCUCAUAAGCACAAUAGCCAAAUGUAACCACAAGAUGGCAGCAGUUUAACCCCCUUAGACCCGAACUCUUUCAUGGCAUGCAUUUUUUUUGCAAGUUCUCUUAGCUAUUUGGGCUGAUUGAGACCUGAUGAAUGUAAAAAGAAUUAGAUCGGUUUUUGUUUUUUUUGUUUUGUUGUUGUUGUGUCUGAGAAAGAUGAGAUCCACAUAUGAGGACAUUCGCCUUAAAUUUCGAUAGAACAGUGGUAGUAAAAUGUCCUUGCUACUGUGCAAUGACGGUUAUUCAAAUUUAAAGAACAAAACAAAAAAUAUAUAUAAAAAAAAAACAAUAACAACAAAAAAAAAACCCAAAACGAAAUAUUUGUGACUAAAGUACAAAUCUGAGUGCCUUUUCUACCAUUUUCCAUCUAAGUACCCUUGAAAGAUAACCAGUAACAUACCUACCUGGACUGCCUGGAAUGUACCUGUUAUAGCGGAUAAAAAUAUGUCUAGAAACAUUAAAAAAAAAAGUCCAAAAUUAUUUCAGUUGCUUAAAUGGUUUGGAGAAACCUUUCAGAAACCCUUCAUACCUGCACUGAUUUCACAGAACAUAAGCUACAACAAUGUAAACAGUCUAUGAGUGUGCUUUUGCCAGUGUUUUCAAUUCACGUCUGCCCUGUAUAUUUCUUUCUUUCUCUUUUUUUCUUAUGCCUUCCUCCUGUUCAUCUUAACGUUCAAAUCUUUUCUGAAAACAGGAACCUGGACACUGCAUGUCUGAUACCUGAUGCAUGAAUUCUAAAGAGCUGUCAAUUUAUUUCUGCUUGCUUUGACUCUUUGCUUCUUGCAGUACUGUAGUUUCCUAUUCACCUAAUUUUCAGGGGAUUCUUUCUCAUACUGGCUGGUAGUGAAACCGCUGCAAAGUAGGUUUUAACCACCAUCAAAAUUCUGAACGUUUGUGCACGACUGCUU